GACGAACGCUGGCGGCGUGCUUAACACAUGCAAGUCGAACGAUGAACCGGGUGCUUGCACUUGGGGAUUAGUGGCGAACGGGUGAGUAACACGUGAGUAACCUGCCCUGGACUCUGGGAUAACCCCGAGAAAUCGGAGCUAGUACCGGAUAGGACCUUUCCUCGCAUGAGGUUUGGUGGAAAGUUUUUCGGUCUGGGAUGGACUCGCGGCCUAUCAGCUUGUUGGUGAGGUAAUGGCUCACCAAGGCGUCGACGGGUAGCCGGCCUGAGAGGGUGACCGGCCACACUGGGACUGAGACACGGCCCAGACUCCUACGGGAGGCAGCAGUGGGGAAUAUUGCACAAUGGGCGCAAGCCUGAUGCAGCAACGCCGCGUGCGGGAUGACGGCCUUCGGGUUGUAAACCGCUUUUAGUAGGGAAGAAGGGCUUCGGCUUGACGGUACCUGCAGAAAAAGGACCGGCUAACUACGUGCCAGCAGCCGCCGUAAUAC
rnacentral:rRNA from 1 species